rnacentral:rRNA from 1 species
UACGUAGGGUCCGAGCGUUAAUCGGAAUUACUGGGCGUAAAGCGUGCGCAGGCGGUUUUUGUAAGCCAGAUGUGAAAGCCCCGGGCUCAACCUGGGAACUGCAUUUGGGACUGCAAGGCUGGAGUACGGCAGAGGGAGGUGGAAUUCCACGUGUAGCAGUGAAAUGCGUAGAGAUGUGGAGGAACACCGAUGGCGAAGGCAGCCUCCUGG